AACGAACGCUGGCGGCAUGCCUAACACAUGCAAGUCGAACGAGACCUUCGGGUCUAGUGGCGCACGGGUGCGUAACGCGUGGUAACCUGCCCUUAGGUUCGGAAUAACUCCCCGAAAGGGGUGCUAAUACCGGAUAAUGUCUUCGGACCAAAGAUUUAUCGCCUUUGGAUGGGCCCGCGUUGGUUUAGCUAGUUGGUAGGGUAAAAGCCUACCAAGGCGACGAUCCAUAGCUGGUCUGAGAGGAUGAUCAGCCACACUGGGACUGAGACACGGCCCAGACUCCUACGGGAGGCAGCAGUGGGGAAUAUUGGACAAUGGGCGAAAGCCUGAUCCAGCAAUGCCGCGUGAGUGAUGAAGGCCUUAGGGUUGUAAAGCUCUUUUACCCGGGAUGAUAAUGACAGUACCGGGAGAAUAAGCUCCGGCUAACUCCGUG
rnacentral:rRNA from 1 species